rnacentral:rRNA from 1 species
AUACGAAGGGGGCUAGCGUUGUUCGGAAUUACUGGGCGUAAAGCGCGCGUAGGCGGACUGAUCAGUUGGGGGUGAAAUCCCAGGGCUUAACCCUGGAACUGCCUCCAAUACUGUCAGUCUUGAGUUCGGGAGAGGUGAGUGGAAUUCCUAGUGUAGAGGUGAAAUUCGUAGAUAUUAGGAAGAACACCAGUGGCGAAGGCGGCUCACUGGCCCGAUACUGACGCUGAGGCGCGAAAGCGUGGGUAGCAAACAGGAUUAGAAACCCGAGUAGUCC